CUAUCUUGUCUAACGAUAGAUGGCCUUUUAGAUACUUUGGGAGACGGUGAGUCCAUUAUAUUGUCUGGCUUUGAGGAAUCACGAAGAAAGCCUCUGACAGAUUCAACAGUGAUAUUCCUCAAAUUCUGAGAAGAUCCCUCAUUGUUUUGCUGGUCUUUUACCAUGUGUGACAGUCGUUUGCUAGCUCGGCGUUCGAGAGCAUUUGUCUGCUUCAAUGCAUCAAAGGCUCCAGGAGCACUUAAUGAGGCACUCGUAGUUUCUUCAUAUUGCUUUCUCGAAUCAGGAUUUCUAAAUGAUGAUAUGCUUCCUUGGGAAGAACCACGACUAUUACGGCGAUUAACAUCGUUAUCA